rnacentral:tRNA from 1 species
GUUUGUAGCUCAGCGGUAGAGCAUUUGCCUUGCAUGUGUGAGGUCCUGGGUUCGAUCCUCAGCACCACA